rnacentral:rRNA from 1 species
GACAGCAGCCCAGGUAAUACGGAGGGUGCAAGCGUUAAUCGGAAUUACUGGGCGUAAAGCGCACGCAGGCGGUUUGUUAAGUCAGAUGUGAAAUCCCCGAGCUUAACUUGGGAACUGCAUUUGAAACUGGCAAGCUAGAGUCUUGUAGAGGGGGGUAGGAUUCCAGGUGUAGCGGUGAAAUGCGUAGAGAUCUGGAGGAAUACCGGUGGCGAAGGCGGCCCCCUGGACAAAGACUGACGCUCAGGUGCGAAAGCGUGGGGAGCAAACAGGAUUAGAUACCCGCGUAGUCCCUGUCUCUUAUACACU